rnacentral:rRNA from 1 species
AGAACGAACGCUGGCGGCAUGCCUAACACAUGCAAGUCGAACGCUCUCUUCGGAGGGAGUGGCGCACGGGUGAGUAACGCGUGGGGACCUGCCUUGGAGUGGGGGAUAACCGAUGGAAACGUCGGCUAAUACCGCAUACGUCCUGAGGGAGAAAGAUUUAUCGC